GUGCAUUUGUUACAUAGUUAUACAUGUGCCUUGGUGGUUUGCUGCACCUGUCAACCCAUCACCUAGGUUUUAAGCUCCACAUGCAUUAGCUAUUUGUCCUGAUGCUCUCCCUCCCCUCACAUGCCCCCGCCAACAGGCCCUAGUGUGUGUUGUUCCCCUCCCUGUGUCCAUGUGUUCUCAUUGUUCAACUCCCACUUAUGAGUGAGAACAUACAGUGUUUGGUUUUUCUGUUCCUGUGUUAGUUUGCUGAGGAUGAUGGCUUCCAGCUCCAUCCAUAUCCCUGCAAAGGACAUGAUCUCCCUUUUUAUGACUGCAUAGUAUUCCAUGGUGUGUAUGUACCACAUUUCCUCUUUCUUUUUUUUUCUUUAAUUUUACUUUAAGUUCUGGGAUACAUGUGCAGAAUGUGCAGGUUUGUUACAUAGAUAUACAUGUGCCUUGGUGGUUUGCUGCACCUGUCAACCCGUCAUCUAGGUUUUAAGCCCCACAUGCAUUAGGUAUUUCUCCUAAUGCUCUCCCUCCCCUUGCCCCUCAAUCCCCGAUAGGCCCCAGUGUGUGAUGUUCCUCUCGCUGUGUCUAUGUGUUCUCAUCGUUCAACUCCCACUUAUGAGUGAGAACAUGCAGUGUUUGGUUUUCUGUUCCUCUGUUAGUCUGCUGAGAAUGAUGGCUUCCAGUUUCAUCCAUGUCCCUGCAAAGGACAUGAACUCAUUCUUUUUUAUGGCUGCGUAUUUUUCAUUUCUAUAACGAUCCAUCAGUAGGACUGCUUAUGACAAAUUCAAAUAAAGUCAUUUUAAUUGUUAAUUUGUCUUAUUUAUUCUUUGUUUAAACAUCAUCAGAACGCUGCAUAGCAUUUAUUUGAUUUUUAGGACAUGAUCUGCUUAUGAGUUCUGUGUAUGCAGAGCUGUCCGAGGGAAAGCUAAAUUGACGGAAAAGUGCUUCUUGCUUUCUGUUCCAAAAUGCCUACCUGUGCUGUCCAUAGCAUUAUUUCGCUGAAUGCAAGGCUAUUUUCCUUUUGUGUCCUAUCAGUGAUAGAUCGUAGAGUUACAUAUAUAAAAUAUGAAUUUCCACUUUUUUGUUUGUUUUUUGAUACAGUCUUACUCUGUCACCCAGGCUAGAGUGCAAUGGCGCGAUCUCAGCUCACUACAAUCUCCGCCUCCUGGUUUCAGGUGAUUCUUAUGCCUCAGCCUCUUGAGUAGCUAGGACUACAGGCACGUGCCACCAUGCCCAGCUAAAUUUUGUAUUUUUAGUAGAGACGGGGUUUCACCAUGUUGGCCAGGCUGAUGUUGAACUCCUCACCUCAAGUGAUCCAUCCACCUCAGCCUCCCAAAGUGCUGGGAUUACAGGCAUGAGCCACCACCCCCAGCCAGUUUCCAGUUUUUUUUUAUGAUCUUUCAGUGAAAGCAUAAGAAGUCAUUUUCUGUUUUCUGUACAUUAAAUAAUUGUAGGUCUUGUGUAUAAAAAUUCUCAGUGAACCCUUAGCAAACACAUUAUCCUGAGUACAUGCAUUUUCUUAAUGGAGAAGGGUUAACCUUUUUUUUCUUUUUUUUUUUUUUUUUGAGUUGGAGUUUCGCUCUUGUUGCCCAGGCUAGAGUGGAAUGGCGCUAUCUUAGCUCACUGCAACCUCUGUCUCCCGGGUUCAAGCAAUUCUCCUGCCUCAUCCUCCCAAGUAGCUGGGAUUACAGGUGUAUGCCACCACGCCCAGCUAAUUUUUGUAUUUUUUAGUAGAGACAAGAUUUCACCAUGUUGGUCAGGCCGGUCUUGAAUUCCUGACCUCAGAUGAUCUACCUGCCUCUGCCUCCCAAAGUGCUGGGAUUACAGGCGUGAGCCACCGCGCCAGGCCAGGUUAACCUUUUAAGUAUCACAGCUUCUGAUUGUGAUGGAAAUCUCUGAAAAGUUUGCAUUGUCUUACUGUUUCAAGUGCAUUGUUGUGUGGUGCAGCCCAGGUGACUGUUUAUUGCCACCUUACGCUGUUCCUAUACAGCAUCUCCCCAGAUACAUUUACGUGGAAUAAUAAUGUCUUUAAAAGCUUUGGGCUUUUGAGGUGCAGUGACACAGGUAUCUGUUUGGACUCUUUCAGGCUGUUAUUCAUCUCUUCUCUUCUGUUGCAGUGUCUGUAGCUUGCCAUUCUGGCACUUCUAGUAGUCUCUGCUUACACUGCUGAAUCUUCUCUCUCUCUCUUUCCCAUCUCCUCUUCUCUCGACAUUUCCUUUCACCCUGCCUUGUGUGUCUGGUGUUUCCUUUUAUGGUCAGCACUAACCAAUCGAAACUCUCCAUUUAAUCACUACUUAUUCUAGGGAUUAUGUUAACUAUUAAUACUUCACACGUAUCAUUUCAUUGAAUCCCCACUACAAUCGUAUGGGGCAGGUAUUGUAUUUCCAGUCUACAGAGUAAGAAACUGAAAAUUACAGAGUAAUCUGUGAAGGAGCUAGAUGGAAUUCACUCUGGGCCUUUGAAGCCUCAGAACCUGAACUCUUCACUUAUACUUACAGUGCAUGUGCUGCAUCUCCUGCUAAAAUACGCACAUAGGUUAGUAGGAAUCAUGUUGGCAGUAAAAUUAAAAUGUUGGCUGAGCCAAGAUUUGUGCUAAGAAUUUCACACAUGCUUCUGAAAAAUCAAACAUGUUGUCUUUUCAAACACAGAAAGUUUUAAUAGCUAAUUAAUCAGAGAGGUAUUAAUUUUAAGUAAGGUUUAUUAUCCUGGAUUAGUCAGGUUAUAGAUGUCACUAAAUACUUGACUUAUACAUGUUAAGAUAAUAUUUAUGGUUGAG
rnacentral:lncRNA from 10 species